UCCUUUUUCUUUCCAACCCCUCACGUGUUCUCUCACAUUCCAACCACUCAUCUUCAUUCAUCAUCCUAGAACAAGCAAAAAAAUGCUUCCUCUUCCUGUCUUGAAGCAUCACGCAGUCACCACCACACCAAACCACAACCUUCUUCAUUGUCUUACAAUCUCUCACAUGCAAGUUCACAUUAAGCUUAAGAUUUUGGUUGUGGUUAAAGUAGAAACAACAACAAACAUUUCAAUCUUCUCUCUCCUCACGCAAAAACAUCAAGAACAACACCAAGGUCAUGAUUUUUCUCAUGGCACAUAUGGAAAUCACUACUCACAAGAUCUAUUCAACCCCAUCAUUAUUAACUACUAGAAAUCAAAACAAGGGACAAGCAUCCUCCUCCCUUCUCUUGGUACUGCCCAUGUUCUUCAAUUUCUGCUCAAAGAUGCUCACCUUCUCCUCACAUUCUGUUUGGGUUUAUACUAGUACUUCAAAUCAAUAAGUUUCAGCACCAUUAAUCUAAGAAUCCUUUUUCACUCUUGAGUCUUGUAUUCAUGAGUUUUGCUUUGGGUUGGAGCAUUUCAAGUAUUGGAGGUAAUCUAGGUAAAAUUCGUAUGGACCUCUGACUAGUAUUUCUGUCAUAACUUUCACACAGUGACCCAGAUUUGAACAAUUGUUAAAUUUUCAGAAUCCAGACGAAAUUCCCUAAAGUUCGAGUACCCCCUUCAUAGGUUUUGGGUUAGUAAUGAGGCAUGGAAACCUGUUUUAAGAUAGGGUCCUGAUGCUGUAGAAUUACAGAAUUUUGGCAGCGGGUUUUGCAUGCUUGAGCCACUCAAACGGAUGCAUAAGGGUGUACAGAAUAGCUUGGAGCUGCUGGAAAUUCACAUGUGGGUUCCUUUAGAAGCUUAACUUUUAGAUUAGUUAGCACCUUUAGUUUCCCCAAAUUCAAUAUAUGUAUGAUAACAUUAGUAUUAGUUAGGAAAUUAGUCUCCCCAAAAAUUAUGUAUGACAACAAUAGGAAAAAUUAGGAAAUAAUUGUGUGAGAAGGUUUAAUCCCAAAACCAUCUCCAUUCUAAUUAUAUAAUAAUAUUUUAGUUGCUUAUGACUGGACAUGAAUGAGAUUGUAGGUGGAAACUGAUAAACUCUUUUAAAAGUAAAAGCUGAGAAUUGAACUGGUAUUCUCGCAUACCGAGCAUCUUGCUUCGCUAAGCGAGCGUAUCAGAUUAGGACUCUGUAGAAUCAACAUUUUAAAUAAAAAUCCACUCGUUUUAUAUCCCUGACUAUUCUGGAAUAUUUCGUAAGCAGCGUAAUAAUAUUAUGUGAUUAGAAUGUUUAUCACGCUUAGGAACUUAGGUUCAGGAAUCAGGAUAGUUAGAAUUACCCCGAGAAGGUUUUCUUUCUUUUGGGUAGGAUAACCAUUCAGGAUUAGGAAUUAUGUUUCAGAAUUUAUCAGGAUGUUUGGUCAUUAGUACCAAUAUCAGGAAGCGUGGUCAUUAGUACCUUGUCAGGGGAUUCAUUCAGAAUCCAAAAUCAUGUAAUAAGAACUGUAAGUUCAUGUUGUAUUCUGACGUACAUUAUUAUCGGUAAUACCAGGCCAGGCACUCCGGGACCGGCUUACCCCGGGGUGAUCCUGUUAUGAUAAAAUUGACAAGAUAAUUAUUAUGUGUGUUACACCCUUAUUGCUUUAUUAUCAUAUUAUGAAAACUUCAGGAUUAUGUCACGAUUAGACUAUUAGAUAUUCAGGUUCAGGUUAAAGUUAGAAACUAUUAGUUUCAGUUGCCCCGGGGUAGUCACCAGUAGUUGGGUAGUAGGAGCUCACUGAGGCUUAGUAGUCUCAUCCCACGACUUUCAAUUUUUUUUAGGUAAACAGGUUAAUCGGAGCAAGGACUAGGCAGGAACUGAUGAUCGAGGUUGAGCUUGGAUUAUCGGAUUAGAAGACUAUCGUCUUCUUCUUUGUUUUUAUGUUAAUCUGUUAAGUUAGAAUUUAAUUCUCUUCCACUAUAUUGUACUAGAUUAUCACGUUAUUCGUGUGAUAUCUUGUAAUUCAAUUAAUUUAUUAUGUAAUUUUAAUGUACUCAGAUUCAAUUAUUAAUAUUUCGACUAAAUAUUCUAGACAAUUUAGUUGGGGUGUUACAACAA